AGCAGUGUGGCCUAGUGGAUAGAGCACGGGCCUGGGAAUCAGAAGGACCUGGGUUCUAUUCCCAGCUCUGCCA
rnacentral:tRNA from 1 species